rnacentral:rRNA from 1 species
UGGGGAAUCUUGCGCUAAUGCGCGAAAGCGUGACGCAGCGACGCCGCGUGGGGGAUGAAGGCCCUCGGGUUGUAAACCCCUUUCGGCAGGGACGAAGCGAAAGUGACGGUACCUGCAGAAGGAGUCCCGGCUAACUACGUGCCAGCAGCCGCGGUAACACGUAGGGGACGAGCGUUGUCCGGAUUCAUUGGGCGUAAAGCGCGCGUAGGCGGCCCGGAAAGUCGGUUGUGAAAUCCCGGGGCUCAACCCCGGGACCGCGUCCGAUACUUCCGAGCUCGAGGCAGGUAGGGGAGAUCGGAAUUCCUGGUGUAGCGGUGAAAUGCGCAGAUAUCAGGAGGAACACCGGUGGCGAAGGCGGAUCUCUGGGCCUUGCCUGACGCUGAGGCGCGAAAGCUAGGGGAGCGAACAGGAUUAGAUACCCUGGUAGUCCUAGCCGUAAACGUUGGGUGCUAGGUGUGGGCGGACAUCGACCCCGUCCGUGCCGAAGCUAACGCAUUAAGCACCCCGCCUGGGGAGUACGGCCG